rnacentral:rRNA from 1 species
GCGAAGCUAGUUGUAUUAUUAGUUAAUGCAAGAUCGACUACGUCGACUAAAGUUCUAGGUAGAAUAAUGAUGAUGACAAUUUUUUACCUAUAUGUCUUGACCAAGUCUCGUGCCAGCAGUCGCGGUAAUACGUGGAAGACUAGUGUUAUUCAUCUUUAUUAGGUUUAAAGGGUACCUAGACGGUAUUUCUAGCCCAAAAUAGGGUACGGAUUUACUAGAGUUUUAUGUGAGGAGGGGAGUACUCGUAGAGUAGAGAUGAAAUUUUGUUAUACUAUGAGGUAACUGGUGGCGGCGAAAGCAACCUUCUAUGUAUAAACUGACGUUGAGGGACGAAGGCUUGGGUAGCAAAUAGGAUUAGAUACCCUAGUAGUCCAAGCAGACAAUUCUGAAUGCCAUAGAUUAGAUUAUUUUUGGUCUAUAAAUGAAAGUGUAAGCAUUCCACCUUAGGAGUAAUGUGGCAACACAGGAACUGAAAUCAUUAGACCGUUUCUGAAACCAGUAGUGAAGUAUGUUAUUUAAAUUGAUGGUCCACAAAAAACCUUACCACAACUUGAAUAUUUUUAAUUAAUACAAGCGUUGCACGGCUGUCUUCAGUUAAUGUCGUGAGA